AUAGUACCUGAAACCGUAUGCCUACAAGCAGUGGGAGGGCUAUGCCCGGGUAACCGGGAAUGCCUGACCGCGUGCCUUUUGCAUAAUGAGCCGGCUAGUUAUUCUCAGUGGCGAGGUUAAGCGUAAAGCGAGCCGUAGCGAAAGCGAGUCCGAAUAGGGCGUUUCAGUAGCGCGCUCAAGACCCGAAGCGAAGUGAUCUAUCCAUGGGCAGGUUGAAGCGUCGGUAAGACGACGUGGAGGACCGAACCCACUUAGGUUGAAAACUGAGGGGAUGACCUGUGGAUAGGGGUGAAAGGCCAAUCAAACUUCGUGAUAGCUGGUUCUCCCCGAAAUGCAUUUAGGUGCAGCGUUGCGUGUU
rnacentral:rRNA from 1 species